rnacentral:rRNA from 1 species
CCUACGGGAGGCAGCAGUAGGGAAUCUUUCACAAUGGGCGAAAGCCUGAUGGAGCAACGCCGCGUGCAGGAUGAAGGCCUUCGGGUUGUAAACUGCUUUUAUAAGCGAGAAAUAUGAUGGUAACUUAUGAAUAAGGAUCGGCUAACUACGUGCCAGCAGCCGCGGUCAUACGUAGGAUCCGAGCAUUAUCCGGAGUGACUGGGUGUAAAGAGUUGCGUAGGUGGCAUAAUAAGUAGCUAGUGAAAUCGGGUGGCUCAACCAUUCAGACUAUUAGCUAAACUGUUAAGCUCGAGACCGUUAGGGGUAACUGGAAUUUCUAGUGUAGGAGUGAAAUCCGUAGAUAUUAGAAAGAACACCGAUAGCGUAGGCAGGUUACUGGGACGGUUCUGACACUAAGGCACGAAAGCGUAGGGAGCAAACGGGAUUAGAUACCCCAGUAGUC